rnacentral:sRNA from 1 species
GGGCACAUUAACACUGUCGUAUAUUACCAUAUACAAAGCACAUGACGUAAACUGAAUGAAAAUCUUGGUCUGGAAUAUCUAUUUGUAUAUCCAUUACUAUAAUGAUUCAAUUUCUUAGCAUUUUUAAUUAAUUCAUACAUUUACAUUUUUACAUGCAUGCAUUAAUUGUUGAGUUAUAAGAAGAACUUUUUCAGAAUAUUGUUCUUUUUGUGUUUAAUAAUUUUACACCAAUUUAAAAACAAAUUUUUCAUGUAACUUGAAUGUUCAUUGUUUAUUUACAGCGACUCUGUAUAUGACUGACAUAAACAUUUUUGUAAGAUUUCCUUGAGUUUCAUGUAUAUUGGUCAAGAGUGGUUUUAAAAUCACUAGCAAUCAAAGAACAUAAAAACUGUUCUGACAUUUGUGGAAUCCCUGACUUAUAUCUACUGGGGUUCUGUCUUUGGAACAAUGUCCGGUGUUGUCAACUUCCAUUCAGUAUAUGUGAUCAUAAGAUAAAUUCCAUCAUAUAUAGUUUACUAAAUGUAUAGCAUAAAAUGAUAUAUGAUUGUUUUAUAUUGUUAUUAAGUUUGCUUUUGAAUCAGUUUUAUGAAUUUUUUUUCUAUACUAGACUUACAGGUGCUUUUUGUGAAAAAUGUUCAACCCUUUCUUGUAAGACUUGUGUAUAUUAUCGGAAACUCGGACACAUCUCUUUUUUGAGUAAAGUAAGAAAUAAAAGUCUCAAUAUCUGUAGUCUGUCUAUCUACAUAUUAUUGUGAUUAGCUGCUUGUUUGAAUGUAUGAGUUUAAGACUGAGCUGUGUAAUUAAGAGUAGUAUUGUUGUAUAAUUAUACAAAGUCUUCAAAAUUAAAUUAAAUCGAGAUGUAUAUAGAUUGAAAGAUAAGUUACUGUUUAUGGUAUACAGGUACAUACCAUUUUGUAAGAUAGAGAUUUAUAUAGAUGAGUAUAGUUUAUGUGUAUACAUCCCAUUGUAUAUUAUGAUCAUCAUGUUAGCUUGUUUGUAAAUUUUGUAUCUUGUACAAAACAUAUAUACUGUACAUGACGUCUGUUUUAUUCCUUUAUGAUUACCAUGUGGUCAUGGUGCCCUAGUUGUGUGUAACUAAAGGCCAGUGUCAUAUUUAUAGUCAUCUAAAUCACAAUUUGUUUUUGAAAAUAAACCCUAUUCCAAGUUC